rnacentral:rRNA from 1 species
CAAAAACAUGGCCUUUAGAAUUGUAUUUAAGGUCUGACCUGCCCACUGAUAUAUUAAAUGGCCGCAGUAUUUUAACUGUGCAAAGGUAGCAUAAUCAUUAGUCUUUUAAUUGGAGGCUUGUAUGAAUGGUUGGACAAGAUAUAUAUUGUUUCAUAUAAAUUUAUAGAAUUUUAUUUUUUAGUUAAAAAGCUAAAAUGAGAUUAAAAGACGAGAAGACCCUAUAGAUCUUUAUAAUUAUUAAGUUUUAUUUAUUAAGGAUAGUUCAUAUUUGAUUUAUAUAAUUAUUUUAUUGGGGUGAUAGUAAGAUUGACUUAACUCUUAUGUAUAUAAUACAUAGAUUAAUGAUUAAUUGAUCCAAUAUUAUUGAUUAGUAAAAUAAGUUACCUUAGGGAUAACAGCGUAAUUUUUUUAGAGAGUUCAUAUCGAUAGAAAAGAUUGCGACCUCGAUGUUGGAUUAAGAGAUAGGUUCGGGCGCAGCCGUUCGGACCUAAAGUCUGUUCGACUUUUUAAUUCUUACAUGAUCUGAGUUCAAACCGGA